rnacentral:rRNA from 1 species
GAUGAACGCUGGCGGCGUGCCUAAUACAUGCAAGUCGAGCGAACAGAUGAGGAGCUUGCUCCUCUGACGUUAGCGGCGGACGGGUGAGUAACACGUGGAUAACCUACCUAUAAGGCUGGGAUAACUUCGGGAAACCGGAGCUAAUACCGGAUAAUAUAUUGAACCGCAUGGUUCAAUAGUGAAAGACGGUUUUGCUGUCACUUAUAGAUGGAUCCGCGCCGCAUUAGCUAGUUGGUAAGGUAACGGCUUACCAAGGCAACGAUGCGUAGCCGACCUGAGAGGGUGAUCGGCCACACUGGAACUGAGACACGGUCCAGACUCCUACGGGAGGCAGCAGUAGGGAAUCUUCCGCAAUGGGCGAAAGCCUGACGGAGCAACGCCGCGUGAGUGAUGAAGGUCUUCGGAUCGUAAAACUCUGUUAUUAGGGAUGAACAAAUGUGUAAGUAACUAUGCACGUCUUGACGGUACCUAAUCAGAAAGCCACGGCUAACUACGUG